rnacentral:rRNA from 1 species
GUGGGGAAUAUUGGACAAUGGGCGAAAGCCUGAUCCAGCCAUGCCGCGUGUGUGAAGAAGGUCUUCGGAUUGUAAAGCACUUUAAGUUGGGAGGAAGGGCAGUAAGUUAAUACCUUGCUGUUUUGACGUUACCGACAGAAUAAGCACCGGCUAACUACGUGCCAGCAGCCGCGGUAAUACGUAGGGUGCAAGCGUUAAUCGGAAUUACUGGGCGUAAAGCGCGCGUAGGUGGUUUUGUAAGUUGGAAGUGAAAUCCCCGGGCUCAACCUGUGAACUGCCUCCAAAACUGCAUGACUAGAGUACGGUAGAGGGUAGUGUAAUUUCCUGUGUAGCGGUGAAAUGCGUAGAUAUAGGAAGGAACACCAGUGGCGAAGGCGACUACCUGGACUGAUACUGAGACUGAGGUGCGAAAGCGUGGGGAGCAAACAGGAUUAGAUACCCCGGUAGUCC